AGUAAUCAAUGGGGUUGUUUUCCUACUGCCAAUAUGUGGAUGCAUCAUACUGAUACCAGUCUAAAGAGUCGACUGUGUUUUCAUAUUUUUUGAAAAGGGAAUCUAAUGUCAGCAGCAGGCACUCACCAGAGUUGGCAUAACACCACUGGGGGCAAUUUCACAUUGCUGCAUACUUUAACAUGGUGACUGGGCCAAUCAUCGUCUUGAUCAAACACCAGCCAUCAUGAACAAAAGGAUAGAAAAUAUCCCCACAGUUCCCAAAAAUUAAUUUUCAGGCUCAACAGCCAUUAGCAUUUUGGUUUGACAUCUUUCCCCCUUCUACCCACGUCUGGUUGAAUAAAUUAACUUUGUUCCAUCAAUCAAGAACCAGAAGACACAAAAUUUAAAUUUAAACAAUUACUAGCUAGUUAAUUGACAGAAAAAACUACUUUGAUUAAAGAUGUUACCUUUAAGCAAUCAAUC